rnacentral:rRNA from 1 species
UACGUAGGGUGCGAGCGUUGUCCGGAAUUAUUGGGCGUAAAGAGCUCGUAGGCGGUCUGUCGCGUCGAAUGUGAAAACCCGGGGCUCAACUCCGGGCUUGCAUUCGAUACGGGCAGGCUAGAGUUCGGUAGGGGAGACUGGAAUUCCUGGUGUAGCGGUGAAAUGCGUAGAUAUCAGGAGGAAUACCGAUGGCGAAGGCAGGUCUCUGGGUUAACACUGACGCUCAUGCACGAAAGCGUGGGGAGCAAACAGG